UACGGGGGGAGCAAGCGUUGUUCGGAUUUACUGGGCGUAAAGGGCGCGUAGGCGGUCAGCACAAGUCAGUUGUGAAAUCUCCGGGCUUAACUCGGAAAGGUCAACUGAUACUGUGCGACUAGAGUGCGGAAGGGGCAACUGGAAUUCUCGGUGUAGCGGUGAAAUGCGUAGAUAUCGAGAGGAACACCUGCGGCGAAGGCGGGUUGCUGGGCCGACACUGACGCUCAUGCACGAAAGCGUGGGGAGCAAACGGG
rnacentral:rRNA from 1 species